rnacentral:lncRNA from 1 species
CUGGCGAUAGAUCGGUGCGGUUCGUUCAAUUGGUCGAUGAAGAGUCAGAACCGCGAUGUAGAGUCGGGGUUGUAUGUCCGAUCGGUCGACUGUUGUUAAGUCGAAAUCGGUAGUCGGUUGAUCUAAAUCGGAGGUUGAUUGACUUAUCCCAACACUCCCUAAUAAAAAUAUGAGUGCUGUGCUUCCCAAAUUUUCAUCCGGUUCCACCUCCAUCAACCAUUUUCAGAACCAUGAAGAGGCCGAGUUUGGUUCUCGCUUUCAUGGCAGUCGCAGCCGCCAUCUCGGUUGAUAUCGCUUGUUCUGCAACGCUGACCACCCCAAAACCGGCGACGAAUGCCCUUGAAUACGGCGUGGAUAAGGAAGUUCGUAAGUGCUAGGAUAUCCAUUAAUCCCUUUUUUACGUGGUGACAUACGUUAUCCAUUUCCUCGCUAUUCAGCAUACCUUGACAUUCUUCUCCUCACUUUUUUGGUGAACAGCAUGUCCAGCUCCCUGCGACAAGAAGUGCUGCGGCUGCAUCUACUAUCAGACCGUGCCAAAAUGCAUCUUUUGUUUGGACGAAUGCCCAAGUGCUUGAUGCAAAAAAGAUGGAACAUCCUUAGUAGAGAGAAUCACCACCAAGCUUGUCUUGAUUUGUUUUUGAUAACAAGUCUUCUCUCAAACAAAAAAUAUCUUUUGGCCUUUUUUUUUUCCCAUGUUGUUCAGUGCUCUAGUAUUCUUCUCAAAAAAUGGAAGCCAUCCACAAGAGUCUAGGAUGGAAACAUAAGCAUCAUGCUAUAUAUAAGUUCGAUAUUCCUAUGCAAACAUAUAACAUGAAGAUUAUGUUCGAUGUUCCUAUGCAAAUAUCUUCAUGCUAUAUGCUUCCCACAUCCUUGCUCGGAUAAACCGGUGAGUCUUUAAGCC